UAGGGAAUAUUGGACAAUGGGGGCAACCCUGAUCCAGCCAUGCCGCGUGUGUGAAGAAGGCCUUAGGGUUGUAAAGCACUUUCGUCGGGGACGAUAAUGACGGUACCCGAAGAAGAAGCUCCGGCUAACUCCGUGCCAGCAGCCGCGGUAAGACGGAGGGGGCUAGCGUUGUUCGGAAUUACUGGGCGUAAAGCGCGCGUAGGCGGUCCACUAAGUUGGGUGUGAAAGCCCGGAGCUUAACUCCGGAAAUGCGCCCAAGACUGGAGGACUGGAGUCCGGGAGAGGUGGGUGGAACUCCCAGUGUAGAGGUGAAAUUCGUAGAUAUUGGGAAGAACACCGGUGGCGAAGGCGGCCCACUGGACCGGUACUGACGCUGAGGCGCGAAAGCGUGGGGAGCAAACAGGAUUAGAUACCCGCGUAGUCC
rnacentral:rRNA from 1 species